UACGGAGGGGGCUAGCGUUGUUCGGAAUUACUGGGCGUAAAGCGCGCGUAGGCGGAUCUGCAUGUCGGGGGUGAAAUCCCGAGGCUCAACCUCGGAACUGCCUUCGAUACUGCGGGUCUCGAGUCCGGGAGAGGUGAGUGGAAUUCCUAGUGUAGAGGUGAAAUUCGUAGAUAUUAGGAAGAACACCAGUGGCGAAGGCGGCUCACUGGCCCGGUACUGACGCUGAGGCGCGAAGGCCAGGGGAGCAAACGGG
rnacentral:rRNA from 1 species